UACGUAGGGAGCAAGCGUUGUCCGGAAUCAUUGGGCGUAAAGCGCGCGUAGGCGGCCUCAUAAGUCCGUUGUGAAAGUCAAAGGCUCAACCUUUGAAAGCCGAUGGAUACUGUGGGGCUAGAGUCCGGAAGAGGCGAGUGGAAUUCCUGGUGUAGCGGUGGAAUGCGCAAAUAUCGGGAGGAACACCUAUGGCGAAGGCAGCUCGCUGGGACGUUACUGACGCUGAGACGCGAAAGCGUGGGGAGCAAACAGG
rnacentral:rRNA from 1 species